UACGGAGGGUGCAAGCGUUAAUCGGAAUUACUGGGCGUAAAGCGUGCGCAGGCGGUUUGUUAAGUCUGCUGUGAAAUCCCCGAGCUCAACUUGGGAAUUGCAGUGGAUACUGGCAAGCUGGAGUACGGUAGAGGUAGGUGGAAUUCCCGGUGUAGCAGUGAAAUGCGUAGAGAUCGGGAGGAACACCAGUGGCGAAGGCGGCCUUCUGGACCAGUACUGACGCUCAUGCACGAAAGCGUGGGGAGCAAACAGG
rnacentral:rRNA from 1 species